UUUUUGCUUAUAUGGGGGCAUUUGUUUAUGCUCUUGAGUAAGGUUACACUGCAUCAGGACACAUUACUUCACUCAUUUCAGGAGAAAAAAAACCAAAACAACCCAGUUUUCUUAUAACUGUUCUUUUAAUUUGAGUUACAAAGUACUUGGUGGCAUUCUUCCUGAAAGCGUGUAAGACCUGAACACAAAAUCACAUCCAUCUAGCCCAUGUAUGUUUUAAGAAACUAGUCUGAUCAAUUUGUACAAAACCUCUGAACAGAUAUUCUCCUACUGAUUUAAUCCUGUCGAGCACUUUAGUUUGCUUUUUAACUAAACAGAGUUAAAUUUAGGUAUAACAUAUGAAGACUGAGUCCCAUCAGAAUAAAUUAAUGAUUAAAAAACAAAACAAAACAAAAAACCAAAACCCCAACCCAAAAUUAAAAACAUUUCAGAUAGUGUUCCACUUUUGUGCUUACAGGAAUAUUGAGUGAGACCUGCACUACAUCUCUGACCUUGGCCAUGACACUUUAAAAUGCGGAUUAGCAAGGUUUUAAUCUACAGCUUAAAGACCCAAAUGUCACAUCCUGGUCUACUGAAGAGUCCUUCCUGAAACUUCAAGAGGGUUUGGGUCAGAGUCAGACCUGAACUACCUUAGAAGUAUUAAAAUUUGGACUUCACUUAAGGUGCCUGUUAGAGUAGGGCCAAAAUCUCCCAACUGUCCUCUGAGCAUCUGGCUUUUUGGGGGCACAGUUGAACAAUGUCAUCAAUCCACUGUGAGUCACUAUCUUAAUUUUCAGAAGUUGCUAACGCAGAACUCAAACCUUACAAUGACUUGUUACUACUGAAGACAGGCUAAACACGACUACCCUCAACAUAGCCUCUUUUUCCCUUGCCUUUCACUGGACAGCCUACUGAUUCAUAUACAGCUGCCACAAUUCAGUGGCAUUCAGGGAAAAAGUUUUGCUGUGUCUCUCUGUUAACCUGUAUGGAACCUCAGUUAUUCAUCCAGACACACCUGUACCUCCUAGUGUUUUACAAGCUCCUGUAUCACUGCUGAUCAGCUCAGUACAGUCAGAAGGAUACCCAUCCCCCUGCACAGCUGACUUCAAAACACACUUGCUGUCUUCAAGAAACUUGUUUAUCCUGACCUUUUCCUCCCUUUGUUUUUGAUUCUUGCACAGUGACAUCAGACACAAAGAAAGCAGACAGUGUCCCCCAUACACCCUCAAAGUUCUCCAAUGGCACAGACCAGCCACCACCCAGAUGACUUUGGUAGCAAACUACAAGAAAAAAACAACAGGUUAUCAAUGUACAUCUUGCACCGUGGAAUUACUUGCUCUGUAUGUGCAGCACCCCUCACAGUACACACUCCAGUGAGUGAAGCCAGACACCUUUCUUCCACUGGAUAUUAGUAGUUGAAGAAACAGCUUGAAAGUGAAAGACAGCUCAGGGUGGAAUUUGGGAGAAAAGAAAAUAAAAUACCAUUUUAAAGUACAAAAGAGGCAAAGCAGAAGCUCCAGCUCCUCAUUUGUGCACACAGCACACACUAUAGAACAGAGAAUAGACUGGAUAUUUGCAGGGUUUGCUCCCGUACCUGUGUUUUUCAUGGAAAGGCACAAUAUCAGAAAGUCCAAUGCAUUAUCUCACUCUGGUCAAUAUAUCUGUCACUGCAAUUCUUUACUUCGACAGGAUGUAAGGAGCACUGCUCCCCUCCCAAGAUGUGUGGUACAGGGCAGCCCAGCUCUAUUGCUGGGCUAUGUUUUCACAAGUUCUCACCAUCAGCUGAGACGUACUGGUGUGGCAUGAGGGCUGAACCGUGGCUUGCUGGAAGAACAUUUGUCCUUUUCCCUCUCCUUCCUCUCUUCAGCUACUUUCUUGAACAGAUAUCUCUUCUUCUCCCAAAAGUACAUUGCUGACUUCAUCCUGCAACCUCAG
rnacentral:lncRNA from 1 species